AAAGUACAACCCAGUACAAUAUCACUCAGUGGUGUCUGGGGAGGGUAGUGUGUACGCAGCCUUACCCCUACCCUGGGGUAGAGAGGCUGUUUCCAAAUAGACCCCCGGCAUAAAUCCCCAGAAUUUGCUACUGGGGAGACUCGAACUCACAACCUCUCGGUUGUAAGUGAGGGUUGGUUACCAUCAGACCAAGCCCCUCUUGUC
rnacentral:lncRNA from 1 species